GCCCUUCAGAGGGGGACAACAGUUGGAAACGACUGCUAAUACCGCAUACGAUCUAACCUCGGCAUCGAGGAUAGAUGAAAGGUGGCCUCUAUGUAUAAGCUAUCACUGAAGGAGGGGAUUGCGUCUGAUUAGCUAGUUGGAGGGGUAACGGCCCACCAAGGCGAUGAUCAGUAGCCGGUCUGAGAGGGUGAACGGCCACAUUGGGACUGAGACACGGCCCAA
rnacentral:rRNA from 1 species